GAUGAACGCUGACAGAAUGCUUAACACAUGCAAGUCUUUGGCAAAUCUGUGCUUGCACAGCAUAGCCAAGGCGGACGGGUGAGUAACGCGUAAAGAACUUGCCCUGCAGUCUGGGAUAACAGACGGAAACGACUGAUAAACCUGAUAUAAUCAAGCCCACGCAUGUGGUGCUUGAUGAAAAGAAAUGCUGCAGGAGAGCUUUGCGUCCUAUUAGCUUGUUGGUGGGGUAAUGGCCCACCAAGGCAAUGAUAGGUAGCCGGCCUGAGAGGGUGACCGGCCACAAGGGGACUGAGAUACGGCCCUUACUCCUACGGGAGGCAGCAGUGGGGAAUAUUGGACAAUGGGGGCAACCCUGAUCCAGCAAUUCUGUGUGCACGAAGAAGGUUUUCGGAUUGUAAAGUGCUUUCAGCAGGGAAGAAGAAAAUGACUGACCUGCAGAAGAGCGCGCA
rnacentral:rRNA from 1 species